rnacentral:rRNA from 1 species
UACGUAGGGGGCUAGCGUUGUUCGGAAUUACUGGGCGUAAAGCGCACGCAGGCGGAUUUAUAAGUCAGGGGUGAAAUCCCGGGGCUCAACCUCGGAAUUGCCUUUGAUACUGUCUGUCUUGAGUCCGGGAGAGGUGAGUGGAAUUCCUAGUGUAGAGGUGAAAUUCGUAGAUAUUAGGAAGAACGCCAGUGGCGAAGGCGGCUCACUGGCCCGGUACUGACGCUCAGGUGAGAAAGCGUGGGGAGCAAACAGG